rnacentral:rRNA from 1 species
UACGUAGGGGGCAAGCGUUGUCCGGAAUUAUUGGGCGUAAAGAGCGUGUAGGCGGCCAUACAGGUCCGUUGUGAAAACUGGAGGCUUAACCUCCAGACGUCGAUGGAAACCGUAUGGCUAGAGUCCGGAAGAGGAGAGUGGAAUUCCUGGUGUAGCGGUGAAAUGCGCAGAUAUCAGGAGGAACACCUAUUGCGAAGGCAGCUCGCUGGGACGUAACUGACGCUGAGACGCGAAAGCGUGGGGAGCAAACAGG